UACGUAGGGUGCGAGCGUUAAUCGGAAUUACUGGGCGUAAAGCGUGCGUAGGUGGCAUUAUAAGUUGGUAGUGAAAGCGUAGGGCUCAACCCUAUAUCCAUUACCAAAACUGUGAAGCUAGAGAAUGAGAGAGGUCGCUGGAAUUCCCUGUGUAGGAGUGAAAUCCGUAGAUAUAGGGAGGAACACCGAUGGCGUAGGCAGGCGACUGGCUCAUUUCUGACACUAAGGCACGAAAGCGUGGGGAGCAAACGGG
rnacentral:rRNA from 1 species